rnacentral:lncRNA from 1 species
UUGGCUUCUCAUUGUAUACCGAUCGUGUGGGCAGCUGCGUUAGUCGAUAGAUGGAUUUGCUCUCGAGAAUGUCGAUAUCUUAGCUGCCUGGCUCUGUUCCCGUAUUUAAUUCGAACUGGACUUAAUAGCGUCUGCCGUUGCGCCUUAUGGUCUAGCUACGGGGUAGUGCUCACGUCAAAACGCCGUGCUCAACUGUCUCCUUCCGCGUGCUGCUUGGUUCAACUUAACCUUUUUUUUCAGCCCUUUCGGCAGAUGCUCGCUCAAACGUCCGCUUGAACAUCCUCGUUCCUCGGCCAUUCGUCCGCCGCAGGCACUUCUCCCCAACUUUACGGAAAAUCCAGUGGCUCAUCGUAACAGAGGUGUGAACAGAGAAGCUGGGUAUUAAUGGAAAACGGGACCUCUGCGCAGGCUUGCAGCUAUGCAGCCCUGAAGAUAGCAAAGAUCCAUGGCUUCUGCCUUAACAUCAUCACUUACCCACCAAAUAAUGGGAGAUGAUGCAUAUGCAAGGCGAUGGUAAGAUGGCUGGCUAAAAAUUAGGGUAGAGCAAGACAUAGCACAAUCUACUAGUACUGCAGAUGCUAAUUAACAAUGGUGAUUAUUGUUUCUAUAUAUUUUUUAAAUUGGUUAUAAUACUCUAUGCGUUCUAUAUAACAUAUGCCUGAACGUGUUGGCGAUGUUGAGCCAGGCUAGAGAUUAUUCUAGGAAUUAUAGGAAUGAGGCCCUUACAGUAAGCAAGAAUAUGUUCGGCCUAAUUGAUUUUUUACGCCUGUGUACGCUGCUUGUUUUUAAUUUGCCCUUAAUUUUGGAUGAGGGUUUCUCUCUAGUCUUAAUGUUCGAUUAGAACGUUUUCUUUUAAUUUUCCUCGCUUAGCAUUUGUGUAAUAACGAUUAUAAUUAUUAUGCUUUCUAGUAAGUAUUGAUAUAUAAAAAUGUUUUUCAGUUUUCAGCCAAUUUUCAGUUUUCGCCUCAAGAUGCUAUACAUUUAAAGGACCAUAUGUAUCUUUGGCAGUCCUAAGCUAAAAUUAGUACAGAAAUAGCUCAUAAUGAACGCAUUUCGUGCCGUCGGUAAGGUGUAUAAGCUAAAAUCUAGCCGGGCGGACUCAACCUAACGGCCAGACCUAUUUGAGCGGCCGACGACCAGAAUGUUAACAAUGAAGAAGUUCUUAGCCCACUGGUGUUUCGUAGACGCAGUAAUGCCCCCGGCUCAGACUUUCAUCUAAUUGAAACUUCGCUCGAAUAGAACGCAAAUCGUUUGAAUAUCCGUGACUCCAUCGUUAAAUUUCCUGGUCUUUACAACUUAAUUGAAUAUCAUCAAUGGGUCAUCAUUAUCUAGUCAGAAAAAUAUCAUCAACGAACUCACAACUGUAGUAAGUUUGAGCUAACCACAGCGGCUGUAUGUAUAUGUAUUUCAUAUAUAUGCGUUGCUAUUAUCUGCGUCACGUAUGCAUGCAUCAAUUUGAAUUCAGACCUGUAUUUUUCUAUCAUAGGUAGUGAGUAACUGAAGUGCUUGCAUUAUCUCAUCCUCCCUCCUGUUCACCCUGCGCUCAGGGUAUUGUGCCUAUAUGAAGCUUGCGGGAUGUAAUGCUUACAGUACGUACAAUAAUAAUACCAUUAAUCAUCAGUGGAACUACUUGGAUGGUGAUGAAGGGGGUGAUGUUGCCGGUUAAUAGAAUAAUAAUAGUAAUAAUAAAAUAAAGCUGUAUGUGUCAGGGCUUGCCGGUAUGUCUAUGAGGCCUUAUACAGGCACGCAUUGAUGAACGUAGCGAUUUCGCCUAGGCGAGCGAAACCUCAAGAGAGGAAGCGAAGAGGGAUUCAUUUGACGAUGACGACGUCGAAGACGAGGACCAGACUGUUGAUGAUAAUGAAGACGCUGUUGGGUGCUGUGAGGUGUCGGUGUGAUGGUGCCGCUUGAUGACUUCAAUGUGGAUGGGGAUGAAGGGACCGGGAUAUCUGAAGAACCGGUAACAAUGGCAACGGUUAUCGAAACUGCAACGAUUCGUUUGUAGAUGCAGAUAGCAGGACGGUUGCAGUAUUGUCGGUAACGAUACUUUGGUGAAUGAAUGGGUUGUGUUUUGGCUUGGCACGUGAAUACCAGGACGGACAGCGCGCUCUAAGAAGGAUGUGACGCACUAAUAAAGACUGUAAAUGUUUCAAGCAUUACUUCGAAUACUGCCUCUGAAAAUUACUUCAGACGAUUGUCUCCUACCAACACAAAAUUAAUUCUAUGUCCGGCCUCGAACCAAAGUUUUAUAGCCAACAUCUUACCACUGCGUUAUUACGGUAACAUGCUGACCUGACUUCCCGACUACUCCAUAUUUCGGCGUUAAACGUUGUUGUUGAGAACGGACUUAAGUCCGUAUCGUUCAUUCGUGGUGAAUUAUAUACGUUUAAUGAACGCCAAUUUGCAAGAUUACUUCCAAUAAUCAUCUGUUGUUUUUGUCUUUACCCCUAGGUAAUGACGUUAUUGACAUAGUCUCGGAGAUUAGAAAAGGCUGACGCUUAACAAUGGCGAUCUCGUCAGAUUACGUCCCUGGUACACUUUGCUUAAAAGCGAUAUAUAUGACUCAAAACAUUUUAAAUACUUCAUCUCAACAGCCGUCGCUCAGUCUCCGUAAACACAAUUAUUUGGCCCAGCAAAGUGGGCACUGACCGUUCUGCAGUUGUCCAUGACCAGCCUGAUCGCUCACCACAGUCGAGUAGGCACAGGCGGACGUGUGUAGGGAAUGGAUGAGUUCAUGUGACGAUAGUGUUGAGCGCUUGAUGUAACUCAAAGCUUAAGAGUACAUCGAAUAUCCAAAUUACCUGGCUUUUUUCAGCUAAAAGCUAUAGGGCAGAAAGGUUACGACCUAGAAGAUGACCUGCUGCAAAAUUCCUAACAUCGACCUGGAACGAUACUUUAUCCUGACUACGCAGCGUCGUCGUUUAGUUGUCUGGCUCGCAUUAUCUUACGCAAGCCUCACACUCUGUAGUGAGGUAAGUUCAGGGCAAAGUCGAAGGACAGUACAUAGAGGCCGCUUAACAACGAGGCAGAAAGCGCGCCGUACGGCUCGAAAGCUGGGAAUCGUGAAAGACGUUAGGAAAAAUGUUUUUCUACAUUUUUCUAUCAUUUGUUUAUCGAUUGAAUCUCUUAGGGGGUGUCGAAGAGUCAAUUGAAGACUUAUUAAUUUUCAACAACGUAUGGGUAUAUAUCUAAUAUAUGUAACAAUAUGUUCAGCUAGGUAGAAAAAAUAAUCGUUGUUGCCACAGUUUAAUAAAUCUAUUUUGACAUUAUCAGGGCUAUUCCGAAGUUUAAUUCGAAAAGCUAAUUAAGCCAAUAUUGAAAAAUAUUUGCAAGGGAAAAUGCCGCCAUUGAACAUGUGAUAUAUAAAGCCUUUCAAUCUCGAAUCCUUAAAACGUUUGCGCUUUUCCUUGUUUUUUUGGCAUCGCUUUCAUAUUGGUUCUGAUGAAGUAUCCGUGAAGUAAACGGCAUUCGAACACGUUUGCCGCUUUGUGUUAAGAACGAGAAAAAUCCACCGUCAUUCUUUUUGAUUUCCUACCAGCUGUCAUGUGUCGAGGCCUCUUCCCUGUUUUUCUAUUGCUGCAAUUUGGUCCUUUUGUGGAGUUCCUUCGCAGAACGCCUAAAAAAACAGUGGUAAGCCUUUGAGGUAUAGAAAGGCAAGUAUUCUUUAGGUUAGAGCUAGGUCAAAAUUGGACACAUGAGGUUCCUGGUUGCUAUUCGAAUUCCUAAUGAUCACUAUAUUGUAGUUUUAGCUAAUUAAAGAUUGAAUUUACUUCAGAAAUUUUGUCGGAAUAUAUUACUUAGUUUUUUUUCCUAUGUCGUCAAAAAUACGUUUUCAUAUAUUAAGUUUUGUUUAUAUCGG